CAGGCCUACCUCUUGUAGGUUACUCAUCGUGACUUGAAUUACCUCCUCGUAAUCAAGCAAACUUUAUGAAAGUUUCACAAACUCCUUUUGUACACAAAUUGAAGAAGGUCAAAAAAAGAAAAAAACUUUCCCUGAGCGCCUUCAACUCGGCUCUGAUACGAAAUUGUUGAAUUUAAGACAUAAAUAAAGAUAUUAUUUUAUUUAUGAAAUAGAUUUUACACACUUUUGGACACACUUUGAU
rnacentral:lncRNA from 1 species